rnacentral:rRNA from 1 species
UACGAAGGGGGCGAGCGUUGUUCGGAUUUACUGGGCGUAAAGGGCGCGCAGGCGGCCAUUUAAGUCAGGCGUGAAAGCCCCGGGCUUAACCUGGGAGGUGCGUCUGGGACUGGGUGGCUAGAGAUCGGGAGAGGAGAGUGGAAUUCCCAGUGUAGAGGUGAAAUUCGUAGAUAUUGGGAAGAACACCGGUGGCGAAGGCGGCUCUCUGGACCGAUACUGACGCUGAGGCGCGAAAGCGUGGGGAGCAAACAGG